CUGAUCCUGGCUUCUUGAGCCCAAAUACGGUCGCUGGUGCUCUUCUUGCACUCCUCGAGUUCCUUUGCGAAGUUCACCUUCCUCCGGCUGUAAUCCAUGAUCGCCUUCACAUGGAGACUUCGGAAGUGGGCGGCCUCAGCGGCGGCUUCAGAAUGGCCUUCUCUCGAUUUGCGAAGUUCGCCUUCCGUCUUCUUCAACUUCUUCGUCAGGUGAAGGACCUCUUUUUUCAGCCGCUGGAUUGUCGAUUUCAGCGGGACCCCCAGGGGCAAGGGGAGUGCUUCUGCAGGGCACUGCCAUCGGAAGGCAAAAGCAUCAGGGAACGACUCAUUGCAAGGAGAAAAGUAGAAAGAAGGAGGAGGGGGAAGGAGAAGCCAUCCACAACAAGAAAUUCGACUUUAUUGAUUGAAUAAUUAUGAAGACAAACAGAAAGGAAAUAUUGCGAUAAAAUAAGGGCACA
rnacentral:lncRNA from 1 species